GUGUGGCUCAGUGGUAGAGCAUCUGCUUGUGAAGCAGAAGGUCCUACCGUAGGUUCAAUCCCCAGCAUCUCCA